UCACUUUCUGUUGUCGUUGUUACAUUUCUUCUGUUGUUUAGUUUCUCUUACUAACAUUUUUUUAAUCAUAUGAAUCUCUUUGACUUUCCAUUUCUCUCUCCUUUUGUUUGAUUUGAUCUAUAAAACGCUUCCCAGCUGAGUGUACCUUAGUGCUCCAUUUCUUGACAGUUUAUAAGUAACCAAUCACCCAUUCAUUAGUCCCUGAACCUCUAAUGCUGUCAGAAUGAAAGUGAAACUGUCACAAAAGAGGUCCAUGUUAAAGGUGCAGUAGGAGAUCUUGGAAAAUGCUAACUUUAGCCUGAUAGCACUGAAAGCGAACGUCCCACCCUCCCUGCAAUCUCCGUCCAAAGCUACGCCCCCUGAACGCAUAUGUGCUCACAGACCAGAAUACCAGAGACAACAUAACUACAACAGGCUACAUCCCCCGCUCUGCACAUUUCAUAUGUAUCUCUUAUCAGGUGCGACGUUUGUUCUAUUCGACUGUAAGUGCCCUGCAAAGUGGACAUCACCAGAUAUUCCGCCAUGAUUUCAGUUCAAAAUGAGCGUAUAUGUUCCAUACAAAGAGCAUUAAAGAGUGCGAGACGUAAAUUUAAAUAGUAUUUAUUUACGGAGGUAUAUUAUGUCACACUUCUCUAGUAAGUUUCAUCUGUGUGUGAAGACGCUGUGCAGCGAAAAUCUGUUAUUGAAUGUCCCGAAGUGAAGUAAACUUCAUCAGAUUUCCCCUACCCAGGGAGUAGGGAGCAAAGAACACUGUGUAGGGUGCAUGUCAAUUGGAACACAGUUCAUGCACGUAGCUCUCUUCUAACGAGUUGGUUAUCUGAAUCAGGUAUGUUAACUAAGCGAGACAUGCAAAAUAUUCCAAGCGUGAGGACUGGAAUUGGGAACCGCUGGGCUACAUCAUGUGUCAUUCACCAGUGAGAAAACUUUAUAGUACAUUUAGUAAAAGUUCUACAAUACCAGGAAGGAAGAUCAGGUUGUUGAUGUUUGCCUGCCUUUCUCAGUCUGUCUGCACAGCAUGUGUGAAUGCGCUGAUGACGUAUCCUGUCUGCGCCAACCUUCCACAGAAUAUAUAAAUACAGAUAAAUACAUUUAGACCACUUAACUUAAUGAUUGCUAUCGGGAUGUGAAGAGACUUUCAACCAGCAUAACAAAAAAUGUUUCUAAAGACAAUCACCUAUUGCACCUUUAAAUGUAUGUCAUCGUUCAUCCCUUUGUGAAUUCCCUGCACUUUGCACUAUUAUCACUUUGAGUUUCAUUCUGACUGGACUCAAAGGCUGCUCACACCAAAGCCUCUUUAUGCUUUUGCUAGAUGGGAGCUGUCCUGCCAUCAGGGCAUUGCUAAAAUCUCUUCAGAACAGAGCACAUGAGACACACUGAGUGGCAAUAAUGGCACAGUAGGUUGACUCAAGAUUGAGUAGAAAAAGCAGGAGAAUGGAUAGAGUGAAAGAGACAGAGCUCACAACAAAAACAAGUGUGUGCUGUCCGCUCUGUCGGAUCACACACAGUCAAGACAUGUGUGUGCUUUAACUCACGCGCCUGGUCCAUGUCCUAAGGUAAAGAACCCCCUUCCUAACUCGCAUAGGAGGAGGGGCGAAUCUAAUACUCUGUUCAAAUGUCAGUUUUCAGUUGUUGCUGUCUACGUCCCCAAUUACAUGUGCUAAUCUAUUAACUUAAUUUGGGAAAAAAUAGGAACACAAUCCUCUUUGGAGGGGUUGUUGGCCUCAGUGUUUCACAGAACUGACUCAAAGAAUUCAUGAAAAAGUCCUCGGAUAUUCCUGGGAGUCCAUUGGGUGUGUCCUGUUAAUUUGCCUGUAAUGCAACAUUACUGUACAUGAAUCUAUUUUCAGCGCAAUCUAUGUUCAAAAACAAACCAUUCUACAGUCGUUGACCAAACUUAGCCCCAAAGCUCAGUUUUGCAAUGAUUUGUCCUUGAAAAAUCAUCCUCUGUGAACCUUUGCUGGAGCAGUUCUGAGGAAAAUGACCCAACAGUUCUUGUUUAGACCCAUCCCAGUGUUUUGUAUUUGUGUUUAAGUUUUCAACACUGGAACUUUUAGUUUAAAUUUAACAGAUACCUUAAUUUAUUAAAUUAAAUUCUGCCAGUGUUUUGAUUUUUGUACAACUGAAGUAGACACUGGUUGUAAAGUUAGUAAAAUAGUAGUCUGAUAAGCUCGUUCUUGACCAGUCUCCGUAGUAAUGAAUUUGAAAAUGUUGCUUUUACACACAGACAAGAGAUUAUGCAUAUGAACUUUGCCUGCUUGACCAAAAAAUAAGACAUGGCAAAACUGUUGCAACAACAUUCAUCCAAAACUGCUUGUUUCUCUCUCUCUCUCUUCCUCUCCUUUCUCUAUGUCCACAGUUGAAAAACAUACUGACUCAAGUGUCAGGAACAAAAACAAGUUGGCCAUCCUCACAUACUAAGAGAAGGAGAGAAUGAAAGAAAAAAAAAACAAUCAAAAGAAAAGCUUGACCCUGACCUAUGUGUGCAGUCGGUCAGCUUUUUGCCCUCAUUUCUCUCCCUCCAUCUUGGUUUGUUGUUCAGCAGAAAAGAGGGAUCAAAAUAAGUGUGGAAGCUCUUCGCAUGGAGCAACACCCCAUAAAAUGAUGCACAACAUUUUUAUUUGAUUUGUAGAAAAAAUAAUUAUUGUUUGUUUGUAAGAAGAAAUUUACAGCAUUUUUAACAUAAAAUAUCAAAAUAUUUGUGAAUACAUGUUAUUUUUCUGAAAUGCUCUGAGAUGCUCAGAAUGCACACAAAAAAGUAAUGCUUACAAGGGGGGCAUUAAAUAUAUUGACAGAGAAACCUCCACUGUACCGCUUAUUAUGGGUACCUUCUGUGUACUGAAACUAGAAGCUGAGAAAAAAACAAUGUCCUGUAUUAGUUUAUGUGAGGAGCUCUGAUAAUGUUUGUUCAAUGGAACUAAAAGUGCUCUGUAAAUGUGUGCCUUGUUUAAAAGAACGUUAAAGAA